AUUAGGGUGGCAAAGCCCGGUUAUGCGAAAGGCCUAAGUCCUUUAACACGGAGAUUCGAAUUCUCCCCCUAAUA
rnacentral:tRNA from 1 species